rnacentral:rRNA from 1 species
UACAGAGGUCUCGAGCGUUGUUCGGAUUCAUUGGGCGUAAAGGGCGCGUAGGCGGCGGGGUAAGUCUGGUGUGAAAUCUCGGAGCUCAACUCCGAAAUUGCACUGGAUACUGCUCUGCUAGAGGGCUGGAGAGGAGAUCGGAAUUCACGGUGUAGCAGUGAAAUGCGUAGAUAUCGUGAGGAAGACCAGUGGCGAAGGCGGCAUCCUGGACCAACACUGACACUGAGGAGCGAAAGCCAGGGGAGCAAACGGG